AUGCUAAGUAGCGAUAGGGAGGCCACAUUCACCAAACCCCAUCAGAGCCUGCGAAGGGCUCCUUAACUUCAUUGCCCAGAAAGAAAAAUGCUGAGGACGGAGAUAAGACUGCAGCGAAGCUCUGGCCCUGAACCGUCAGCCGAGAAGUUAAGCAGCCCCUUCUGUUUUAUAGCCCAGCCAGACCCGUGCGGGCUGCACGCAGCUGCUACCGCUAAGUGGGUCUCCGCAGGCCAGAAACCCUGGCUCCCCGUGCCUCAGCUUCCCCACCCCUCCCUCCCACAGAGUGCUCAACACCCGACAGGGAAAAAUGAUCAGCUCUGAUCUAGGAAGAGCAACGUUCGGAAUCCAAAUCCAUACUAACGUUUCAAGUAAAAUGACAAAAUCCUUCCAAA